CUCCACAUAGAGCUCUCUGUCCAUCCAGGACAACAGGGAUGCUGAUGGAUGCUCUGGAGUGGAGCUCACAGCAUGAAGCAACGACAAUGACACCAGGACAACCCUGGAGCAACAGGAGCUCCCAUGGGGUUUUGGGAUGGGGACAAGACAGGGUGAUACAUCAAGUGUCCUUCCCUGUGCAUGCAAAGGGCAGAGAGGAGGAGGCUACUCACUGCUCACCGGCACCCACCUGAGGAGCUCAGCGCUGACCCUGCUGCAGUGGAAGAGGCUGGAGGCCAGCUUGAGGGACCAGGACGCUCCCUUCGGUAACAAUAGGAAUUCGAUCCCUGCCAGAGCAGACUCCUUAAUUAGACCCCACAAAAUGAACAGUAACGUGUCUCUGGGCUGAAAUUCUCCCUUUCUGGAGCUUGCAGAAAGGAGGGAGUUUCUAACUCAUAAUUGCAUCUGAAUGCAAAUGGCUGUGCCAAUGUGAAUAUAUUAAAAGCAGCAGCGUCAGCAAUCACUGUGGAAGGGGAAAAAAAAACUACAUACAAAUGAGGCUCUGGCUUAUUGCUCCAUUUGGAUGCUGUGA